rnacentral:rRNA from 1 species
CGGACACGUAACGCAACUUACCCUGAACUGGGGGAUAGCCCACCGAAAGGUGGAUUAAUACCUCGUAACAUCUUGUAGUGGCAUCACUGUAAGAUUAUAGCUCCGGCGGUUCAGGAUGGGCGUGCGGCCCAUUAGGUAGUUGGUAGAGGUAACGGCUCACCAAGCCUGCGAUGGGUAACUGGUGUGAGAGCACGACCAGUCACACGGGCACUGAGACACGGGCCCG